UACGGGGGGGGCAAGCGUUGUUCGGAAUUACUGGGCGUAAAGGGCUCGUAGGCGGCCAACUAAGUCCGACGUGAAAUCCCCAAGCUUAACUUGGGAACUGCGUCGGAUACUGGAUGGCUUGAAUUCGGGAGAGGGAUGCAGAAUUCCAGGUGUAGCGGUGAAAUGCGUUGAUAUCUGGAGGAAUACCGGUGGCGAAGGCGGCAUCCUGGACCGACAUUGACGCUGAUGAGCGAAAGCGUGGGGAGCGAACAGG
rnacentral:rRNA from 1 species